rnacentral:rRNA from 1 species
AGUGAACGCUGGCGGUAGGCCUAACACAUGCAAGUCGAACGGCAGCACAGGAGAGCUUGCUCUCUGGGUGGCGAGUGGCGGACGGGUGAGGAAUACAUCGGAAUCUACUUUUUCGUGGGGGAUAACGUAGGGAAACUUACGCUAAUACCGCAUACGACCUACGGGUGAAAGCAGGGGACCUUCGGGCCUUGCGCGAUUGAAUGAGCCGAUGUCGGAUUAGCUAGUUGGCGGGGUAGAGGCCCACCAAGGCGACGAUCCGUAGCUGGUCUGGGAGGAUGACCAGCCACACUGGAACUGAGGCACGGUCCAGACUCCUACGGGAGGCAGCAGUGGGGAAUAUUGGACAAUGGGCGCAAGCCUGAUCCAGCCAUACCGCGUGGGUGAAGAAGGCCUUCGGGUUGUAAAGCCCUUUUGUUGGGAAAGAAAUCCAGCUGGCUAAUACCCGGUUGGGAUGACGGUACCCAAAGAAUAAGCACCGGCUAACUUCGUGCCAGCAGCCGCGGUAA